rnacentral:rRNA from 1 species
UACGUAGGCAGCGAGCGUUGUUCGGAGUUACUGGGCGUAAAGGGUGUGUAGGCGGUUGCUUAAGUUUGGUGUGAAAUCUCCCGGCUCAACCGGGAGGGUGCGCCGAAUACUGAGUGACUAGAGUGCGGGAGAGGAAAGUGGAAUUCCUGGUGUAGCGGUGAAAUGCGUAGAUAUCUGGAGGAACACCGGUGGCGAAGGCGGCAUUCUGGACCAUUACUGACGCUGAGGAGCGAAAGCCAGGGGAGCAAACGGG